rnacentral:rRNA from 1 species
UACGGGGGGGGCAAGCGUUGUUCGGAAUUACUGGGCGUAAAGGGCUCGUAGGUGGCCAACUAAGUCAUACGUGAAAUCCCUCAGCUUAACUGGGGAACUGCGUCUGAUACUGGAUGGCUUGAGUUUGGGAGAGGGAUGCGGAAUUCCAGGUGUAGCGGUGAAAUGCGUAGAUAUCUGGAGGAAUACCGGUGGCGAAGGCGGCAUCCUGGACCGAUACUGACGCUGAGGAGCGAAAGCCAGGGGAGCAAACGGG